UACAGAGGGUGCAAGCGUUGUUCGGAAUCAUUGGGCGUAAAGGGCGCGUAGGCGGUUUUGCAAGUCGGAUGUGAAAGCCCAGGGCUCAACCUUGGAAGUGCAUCCGAAACUGCGAAACAUAGAGUCUCGGAGAGGGUGGUGGAAGUUCCCAGUGUAGAGGUGAAAUUCGUAGAUAUUGGGAGGAACACCGGUGGCGAAGGCGACACCC
rnacentral:rRNA from 1 species